CAGCCGCGGUAAUACCAGCUCCACAAGCGUAUAUUAAUGUUGUUGCAGUUAAAAAGCUCGUAGUUGGAUAUCUGUCAUGACGGACCUGGCCCAACAUCUCUGAUGAGUUGCUGUGUGCCGGUUCUGGCUGACGGCAGUCGCGCUCGUUGUCGGGUUGGCUCGGUUCGCUGGGUCGAUCGGGCGAGUUGUGCUCCGUUGUGCUUGUUCGUCGG
rnacentral:rRNA from 1 species